rnacentral:sRNA from 1 species
GAACGGCAGUCCAUCAGUAGGCCCUGAGAUGCCUAUUGUCCUGCGUACAGUAUCUGGAAACGCCAAAGGGGGGGCGUUUGAGCUUUUGUCCCCUGAUGAACUAUCGUUUAUCCCGAGUUUUUCGAAUCUUUGAUGGAGGUUUUCUAUGAGCUAUCGAUAGAUAACAUUGCUCUGGAUGUCCAUGUUUCCAUCAAAGAAAACGAAAUUCCCAACACCAGCGGCUGACCUAAGGGACCAAACAUGGCCAUGUCCUCAUCUAUGAAUAACUCUAUCUUGUGCACCUUUUGGACGCAAGAGGAACAGAAAGAGUCAACUGUCUCACUUCUUUACUGUUGUUUUGCGAGCUUCCGACGGAAUUGGUUCAUUCCGUAACCACCACGAUAUUACCAUAUAUUUCAUAUCAAUCCUCGUCCUAAACUGGAACAUUUACACAGCUCUUUUUUAUACACAAAACAAAUAAAAAGCCAUUUUGAUCCUCAUUUUA